AGAGUUUGAUCAUGGCUCAGAUUGAACGCUGGCGGCAGGCCUAACACAUGCAAGUCGAACGGUAACAGGAAGCAGCUUGCUGCUUUGCUGACGAGUGGCGGACGGGUGAGUAAUGUCUGGGAAACUGCCCGAUGGAGGGGGAUAAUUACUGGAAACGGUAGCUAGUACCGCAUAACGUCGCAAGACCAAAGAGGGGGACCUUAGGGCCUCUUGCCAUCGGAUGUGCCCAGAUGGGAUUAGCUAGUAGGUGGGGUAACGGCUCACCUAGGCGACGAUCCCUAGCUGGUCUGAGAGGAUGACCAGCCACACUGGAACUGAGACACGGUCCAGACUCCUACGGGAGGCAGCAGUGGGGAAUAUUGCACAAUGGGCGCAAGCCUGAUGCAGCCAUGCCGCGUGUAUGAAGAAGGCCUUCGGGUUGUAAAGUACUUUCAGCGGGGAGGAAGGGAGUAAAGUUAAUACCUUUGCUCAUUGACGUUACCCGCAGAAGAAGCACCGG
rnacentral:rRNA from 1 species